UGGCCUGUGGUGACAUUUUGUAGAGCUCUGUCCCUAACUUUGGUCAACACUUUGAUCUUGCAUUCUGCCUUUUUCUGGUCUCUCUCUCUAAACUAACAAUGAAUACAUUUGGAUUGGAGCUUGGAUUUUUGCCUUUUAAGCCAAAUCAACAAAGGCCAUCCUUACAUGUGGUAUGAAAAGAAAAGACAGUAUGCUGCCCAAACACUAGCAGUCAAGGCAGCAGCCACAGCAGCAAGCAGAGUCUCCAGGCAAACAUGGCGCCACAAGGGGAGCUCCCGAGCAGGGCUAUCACUCCAUGGCAGAUACAACCACUUCCCAUGAAGCAAGUUUUUCCAACCUGGCUAGGAUAUUUGAAACUUUCAUGUGGUUUCAGAUAGGAAGGUGAAAGGUCAACAAGAUUAAGAUGUCAACAGAGUCCACCACCAGCGCUUCCGGGCUCUAGACGCACCUGUGGAUGAGUCUCCCCAGGACCUGUAGGUUCAACUUAAAGACCUGUUUUGCAAAUGGGUAAAAUUUGAUGCUGUCAGCAAGGAAGACAUCUGGGAAAGAUGUGAUCUUCUAGCAUUGCCUUAGAGUCCUCUAUCCGGAGGUGAAGACUUAGGUGAGAGAACACAACCCUGAGUCAGCAGCAGAGGGGACUGAGCUGGUUGACACUUGUGUCUUGGCACACAAAGGCCUGGGGAUUUACUCUACGCUGGGCUGCAUCAUGCCAGAGUUUCAGUAACAAGGCCGGUUUGUGUGGGAGAAGAAAAGACCUCUUCUGUGAAAAACUUUGCAAAACAGCUCUGCAAGAGAAGAAACGAACCACCCUCGGGGAGCUGAUACUCUCAUGUGAAAAGUGAGGAGAUCGUCAUAACCUGCAGAACAGAGCAUCGAUUCUGAGAAAUAUUGCAUUACUCACCCCGAGUGAGCCAAACGUCUAAAUGCAUCAGAUUCAGAGAGGGGGGCUGAAUAUUUGAAGGACUUUCAUACCACUUCACUCAAAUCCACAGGAUGGAAGAAAUUUCACAUUACGAUGAUUGAAGAUGAUGGCUGAGGCAACCUUCCAAAUUCUAGGGCAGUGUUUUGUGAGGGUCGACUUUGUGACUGACAGCUGCUAAAAUGACUGUGUUUCAGGAGAGAGAUGAAACUCAUAUCAUGUUAUAAAGUCCAGGUAUUAAGACACAUUUAUUAAAUAUCACACUUUAAAAUCCUUAUUUACUGUAUGGAUUGUGAAAAAAAGUUGUUAGACGCAGAUAAAAGUGUGUAGUGUUUUAUGUAUAUGACUUAAAGUCCAGCUCCAUCUUCAAAUCACUUUUUUAAACUACCGGUGUGGAAUCAAAGUGCUUCACAAUUCAUAUAAAAACAGAUUGAAAAAAUGUAGGUAUCACAUUGACAUGCACAAGAAAUGAAAACAAGAACAUAAAAGAGGGCAGGGGAAUGCCAGUUUCGCUCAGUGGGUAAAUUGCACGCCCCACUUACAGAGGCUACAAUCCUGGAAGUGGCGGCCUGUAGUGUAAAUCCAACUCUCACUCUUUUGCUGCAAGUCAUUCCCCACUCUCGGUUUUCUGUUCCCGACUCAAUCCACUCUCUUAUCUUCUCAAUAAAAAUGCAAGCAUGAAAAAGCUAAAUCAUCUUGAAGAAGGUAACACAGGAAGGUGUCCACAUGAGCAGCUUUCCUUCAGUCAGAUUAAAAUCAUUCAGAUUAGAGAUCCAGAUGUCACUGUAAUCACAUUAAGUAAAGUGAUCUGAUUAAG